AACGCUAGCUACAGGCUUAACACAUGCAAGUCGCGGGGCAGCAUGAGCUUAGCUUGCUAAGUUUGAUGGCGACCGGCGCACGGGUGAGUAACGCGUAUCCAACCUUCCCUUGUCCACGGGAUAGCCCGUCGAAAGGCGGAUUAAUACCGUAUGAGGUCACAUGCGGGCAUCUAAGUGUGACGAAAGGUUUUGCGGACAAGGAUGGGGAUGCGUCCGAUUAGGUAGUCGGCGGGGUAACGGCCCACCGAGCCAUCGAUCGGUAGGGGUUCUGAGAGGAAGGUCCCCCACAUUGGAACUGAGACACGGUCCAAACUCCUACGGGAGGCAGCAGUGAGGAAUAUUGGUCAAUGGGCGAGAGCCUAAACCAGCCAAGUAGCGUGCAGGAAGACGGCCCUAUGGGUUGUAAACUGCUUUUAUGCGGGGAUAAAGUGUGGGACGUGUCCCUUAUUGCAGGUACCGCAUGAAUAAGGACCGGCUAAUUCCGUGCCAGCAGCCGCGGUAAUACGGAAGGUCCGGGCGUUAUCCGGAUUUAUUGGGUUUAAAGGGAGCGUAGGCCGUCUUUUAAGCGUGUUGUGAAAUGCCGCGGCUCAACCGUGGCACUGCAGCGCGAACUGGAGGACUUGAGUGCGCAGGAGGUAGGCGGAAUUCGUGGUGUAGCGGUGAAAUGCUUAGAUAUCACGAAGAACUCCGAUUG
rnacentral:rRNA from 1 species